rfam:Cryptococcus bestiolae CBS 10118 unplaced genomic scaffold supercont1.1, whole genome shotgun sequence.
GGUUUUAUCGUCUAGUGGUUAGGACACUUGGUUUUGAACAGCUUCGUUCGAAAUCUCCUCCCCUUGAGCCAGACGGUUCCAAGUAACCUGGGUUCGAAUCCCAGUAAGACCU